AUUCAGCUGAUUGUGAGCUAAUGCUGAGGCAGAAGACGGCAAUAGUUGAGGAAUAAGAGAGGCUGGCUGGUAAUCUUUGCUGGCAUCGUGCCUGGAUUUCCAGCAUGCUUUUAUUAGAGAGGAAUUGAGCUUGACUGGAAAACAAUCAACUAAAUUCAAACAGAGAUGAUAUGGCACAGCACCUGCAGUAUAACUACAUUUAAGGAGGAGAUCAUUUUAUAGACUUGAUUUUGUGCCUUCCUCUCAGACCCCCAUACACAUACUGAACAUCAUUUAAAGAACAUUCAUUGCUACAAAUGGGAACAGUUGUUUUGAAGAAGGAGCAGAAAGAGAACUCACCACCAUCAGGGUAGUAGGCACAAAACUGGGAUAUUCAGCUGGCUGAAGGUACCUGGACUUCUGGAUAAAUCAGAGAACACUGUACAAUCAAAUAUAUUAUUUUAUACCCUUUAAUGAUAGUAGUAGUUUAUUGCUUUCUGAUUGGAUCCUUGCUCACAUAUUGUUCAUGA